rnacentral:rRNA from 1 species
ACGCUCGACACCUACGGGGGGCAGCAGUGGGGAAUAUUGCACAAUGGGGGAAACCCUGAUGCAGCAACGCCGCGUGAAGGAAGAAGUAUUUCGGUAUGUAAACUUCUAUCAGCAGGGAAGAAAAAGAUGACGGUACCUGACUAAGAAGAACCGGCUAAAUACGUGCCAGCAGCCGCGGUAAUCUGAGCGGGCUGGCAAGGC